GGAGCGAUGGCUGAGUGGUCGAAAGUACUCCCUUGCUAAGGGAGCGUGGGGGUGACCUCACCGAGGGUUCGAAUCCCUCUCGCUCCGCCA
rnacentral:tRNA from 1 species